GCUUUAUAUUAAAUGUUUAUUUUUUCGUUUAGAAGUAGUUUGUAAAUAAUCAAGAUAAUAUUUGGUUGGGGUGACGGGAAGAUAGAAUAAACUCUUCUUAAAAUAUUAACAUUGAUUUAUGAGUAAUUGAUCCAUUAUUAGUGAUUAUAAGACUAAGU
rnacentral:rRNA from 1 species